rnacentral:rRNA from 1 species
UUCCGAUGGUGAACCUGCGGAGGGAUCAUUACACAAUAUGAAAGCGGGUUGGGACCUCACUUCGGUGAGGGCUCCAGCUUGUCUGAAUUAUUCACCCAUGUCUUUUGCGCACUUCUUGUUUCCUGGGCGGGUUCGCCCGCCACCAGGACCAAACCAUAAACCUUUUUGUAAUUGCAAUCAGCGUCAGUAAACAAUGUAAUUAUUACAACUUUCAACAACGGAUCUCUUGGUUCUGGCAUCGAUGAAGAACGCAGCGAAAUGCGAUACGUAGUGUGAAUUGCAGAAUUCAGUGAAUCAUCGAAUCUUUGAACGCACAUUGCGCCCUUUGGUAUUCCAAAGGGCAUGCCUGUUCGAGCGUCAUUUGUACCCUCAAGCUUUGCUUGGUGUUGGGCGUCUUUGUCUCUCACGAGACUCGCCUUAAAAUGAUUGGCAGCCGACCUACUGGUUUCGGAGCGCAGCACAAUUCUUGCACUUUGAAUCAGCCUUGGUUGAGCAUCCAUCAAGACCACAUUUUUUAACUUUUGACCUCGGAUCAGGUAGKGAUACCCGCUGAACUUAAGCAUAUCAAUAAGCGGAGGAA